ACGCACCAUGCCAUCAGCCUGCUAACAUAUGUAUACACUUUGCGAUAGUCGAAUCCGAUAGGCAAGUCUCCUCACUAGAUCUUGUAAAAACAAUUGGAGAUGAAACGCAUGUAACAAACAUGGACGAAUUUGUAAAAAGCCUCAUCGAGGAGGUGAAAUCGCAGGGCGUGUUCGAUGAGUUCCGGUUCAACUGUUGCCUGGCGGACGUGGACACAAAGCCCGCUUACCAGAACGUGCGGAACAGAGUGGAGACCGCGGUCAACGACUUCCUGUCAAAGCAGCACUGGACGCCAGACACUAAUAAGCUCCAAUUGCGGGAGAGGCUACGCAAGCAUCUUAUAGAUUCUGAUGUCCUCAACAAGGGAGUGGAUCAAAUCGUGGACCAGGUGGUCAACCCCAAGGUGGCCACCAUAUUCGAGCCAAAGAUCGAGAGCAUUGUCUACAAGUACCUGGGAAUCACCCCUCCUCCUCCACCGCCAGCAAGACCCACAUUGCUGCCUGCGCCACCGUUGCCGCCAUUUGCUGGCCACAUGAACGGCAGCAGUAUGCUGAAAGUCGAAACAGCUACUGGCACUGGACUCCUGCCGACUGAUCUGGAACAGAUUAGCCCGGAUUCCGACCGUGCCACUGUUAAAUCUGAUGUGAAGGAAGAAAGCAAGGAGGAGGAUGAAUUGCCGCCAGGCGUGGAUGAUCGAAACUUUGAUGACGAUACUUCUCCAUCAUAUGAGCCACUAAGCGAGGAUAAAACGGAUUCCAGGAAAGAGGACCUAAACAACGGGUCCAUAAACAAUUCAGACUCGGUUAACGGCGUCUCCCAGGCGUCGCAGCUGUCCCAGGUGUCUAGCGAUAGUCGCCUCACCAUUGCCUCCUCCACGGAGUCUGCGAAUGAUGUCCAGCAAGCUGCGGUCGCAAAGAGCAACAACAUCGACCAGAGGCCCAACAUGCCAGCUAACAUUUCGGAGGAGGCCCAGAUGCCGAAGUUCAGCGAGAACUCCAGUGAUGCAACUAACGAAAAUCGCCACCUGCACUUUGAUAUUAAACAGGAUGCCAUUACCUUCGAGGGCACUGAGCGCAAGAACUCUGUAUCAGAGGAUGUGAAGGGGUGCCCUCCGAUUCUCUCCAUUGAGGAUGCCAUUAUGUCGGAAGUUAAGGCGAACAUUGUGGACGCCAACAAUGCUAGCAUUGAGCCUAUGGACACGGUGCAACCGCCGCUACCACCACCACCAGUGUCUAAAAUUGAACCGCCACCUCCUCCACCAAAAGAUGACCCUCCACCUCCGCCUCCAGAUGUAGAGCCACCGCCAGCUCCACCAAAGGAUGGGUCGUCAUUGCCAGCAAAAAUUGAGGAAGUGCCUUUUGCUCCAGCAAAUGUUGAGAUACCAGCACCUCCACCCCCAUCACUACCAGCUCCGACACCACCACCUCCAACACCACCACCUCCAACACCACCACCUCCAACACCUCCACCUCCAACACAGCCGCCACCUCCGCCUGAGAGCAACACUGGUUCGACAGCCUCGGAGACUGCUGUUCCGGAUUCAGGGCCCAAGGAAACAGAAAAUUCAGACUCACAGGAACAGAAGAAGGAAUCUCCUUCUGCAGCAACAGCAGAAAACGAGGGGGAGAAAAUUUCAGGAGCUACUCCUCCGGAAGAAACACCUAAAAGCGGGGAUGCGAUGGUGUCGCCUGCCAAUGCGAAGAGCGACCUCAAAGACAAGGAUAAGGACAAAGACCGUCGCCAUCACUCUGAUGACAGACACCGCCGGAAAAGCAGGGACAGGGACCGCGAUCGUGAUCGCGACCGUAGUCGGGACCAAUCGCGCAGCAAGCAUUCCUCCAGCUCUAGUUCAAAGCACUCCUCGUCACACUCCUCAAGCUCCAAACACAAGAGCAGCAGCUCGAAAACAGAAAAGAGUUCCUCCAGUCGGAGCCAUCAGGAGUCAUCAUCCUCAAAGCGUUCCACGACCGGUUCCUCAUCCCGCCACGAAUCAACCUCCUCCUCCCACAAAAAACACAAAUCUAGCUCAUCCUCGUCACGAUCUGAUAGGGAAAAAGAUAGGGAUAAGGAUAAGGAUAAGGACAAGGAUAAGGACAAGGAUAAGAUUAAGGAUAAGGAUAAGGAUAGGGAUAAGGAAAAAAGUAGUCAUAGUCGCAGUCACCACAGCAGUAGCAGCUCUUCGUCUAAAAGAAAAGACCAUGACCGAAGUCGAAAUCGGGAUCGCCAUAAAUCCAGCUCAUCCAGCAGUGCGGCGACCAAUACUGCUAUCCAAGAUGACCACAACGAGAGCAAAGCCAAACUCCUUAAACGCCGAGGCUCCGACUCUAACGAUGAGGGAAAGCCACCUAGCUCGGGAGGCCCAGCAAAGACUUCCACUCCAGAGAGUACAUCCGCUCCGGAGAAAACUGACGCCACUGUAGAGAAUGGCAAUGGUACAAAUGGCAACUCCCAUGGGGAGAGCAACGGAGCAUGCGACAGAGCCGCGUCCGGUGGUGCUGUCUUGGUCACCGACAUCUUGCAGCAAUCAUCCACUAGUUUCAUAGAACUGAGCGGUGGGUCGCCACCGACAAGUAAGCCAGUUACGAGUGAUGUUGAGGGAACAACUGAAGACCAACCAAAAAGUGAAGCGAAGGAUGAGAAGGAAUCCGCUGAAACGAAAGUAUUGGAAGAAGAUCGGACAGAAAUACCUGAGAGCACAGUAUCAGACUCCCAUUCAAAUAGUGAUAGCAGCAAAAAGAGUGAAGUAUUGGAGACGAGUGAUGGGGAAAACACCAAGCCCACAGAGGAAAGCAGAGGGGACGAUCCUCCAGUGAUCGAAGAGAAUCCAGAGUCCACUGAUAUUACCCAGCAACCGCCAGAGGAACUACCCGCCACACACAGUCCAAGCUCGAAGGAGCCGGAUGAAGUUGUUUCGGAUGAAGUGGUGACCCAUUUUGAAGACCACAUGGAUGAGUUUAAGGAUCGUCUGCAGUUAAUCGACAAGCUAAUAGAGGAUCGUAAAAAUUUGGUGAACAAGCUGAGUUCAGAAGGGGCGCCAGAGGAUGCGGUGGAUGUGAGAGCCCUUCGCAGAAGCAUAUCCAAACGUAGAAGGAGCAGUGCGCAGGAGCAGCCUCGUCCAGAAGCUGUUAAGGAAACAGCAGCAGCGCAGUCGUGUAGUCCCAGCAGCAGCACGUCCGGCAGUCCGGCUAAGAAGCUGCGACGCGAUGAGGCUAAGUCAUCACCGACGCCAUCCGAGGCAAGCAUUAAUUCCAAGGAGAACGAGGCUCUCGAGAAGCAGGAAAAUGCUGUGUGAAGCCGCCUCCCUCUAGUCCUCAAAAUCAAAUUCUAUUGGGUAAAUUAUGCUGGACACCAUGUCCGCUAGACGACUCAGCCAGAAGCUGUGCCAGCAGCAGCGCUACUCCAACGAUGAUCUCUAC
rnacentral:misc_RNA from 1 species